rnacentral:lncRNA from 1 species
GAGUAUUGUUUCCUUUGGAAAAGGGCCACCAUUCCCCUUCAGGCUCCUGUGGCCAGGAGUGGCCCUGCAGCCACACCAAGCCCCCGAUCCCAGUUCCUGGGGCUUGGAUAAGGGACAGGAAGCAGUGCAGGAGCUGUCACUCCCAGCUCAGAGCACCUGCACUCACCCCAGUCGUUGCUACAGGCAGGACAGCAUUGUUCCAAGUCAGGACUUCAUUGGAGAGUCAUGAACUCCGUAGGAAUUCCUUGAAGAGCCUGUUGGAGUGCUGACCUGGAUUUGGGAGGAGCCAAGUAUCCUAGAGCUGUGAGGUUUUUCCUGUCAGAAAUCCAUUAUGGGGAUGUUUUCCCUGGCUGUGCCAAGUGGAAGGGACAGCUUUGGAGUUGUUGCAGCCACACAUUGGGGAUGCAUCCCCUGAAAAGCAGUUCAGGAUUGUUCAUCUGACUCUGCCCCUGACCUGUAGCUUCCAGGGACCCUCCUGGUAUCCUGAAUAUUCCCAGGAGAGGAUAUUCCACCACCUGCCUUUCGAGCCAGGAAUUCCAGACCCG